UACGAAGGGGGCUAGCGUUGCUCGGAAUCACUGGGCGUAAAGGGUGCGUAGGCGGGUCUUUAAGUCGGGGGUGAAAUCCUGGAGCUCAACUCCAGAACUGCCUUCGAUACUGGCAAUCUUGAGUCCGGGAGAGGUGAGUGGAACUCCGAGUGUAGAGGUGAAAUUCGUAGAUAUUCGGAAGAACACCAGUGGCGAAGGCGGCUCACUGGCCCGGUACUGACGCUGAGGUGCGAAAGCGUGGGGAGCGAACAGG
rnacentral:rRNA from 1 species